rnacentral:rRNA from 1 species
CUUACAACGAAAGUACCCUUAGGGCUCUUUUAUAGCGCAGGAAAUUUAAAAAGGAGUAAGGAAAGUUAAAAUUUGUACCUUUUGUAUCAGGGGGGUUCAAAAAUAACACCAGGGUGUAAUCGAGUUUGCCAAAUCUUCUUUGUUUAAAUGUGUAGUAGAAUUUAAAUAUUUAAACCAAUUAAGGGGUGAAAAGUGCACGAUGGUAAUGGUAUCUAAUUGUUUUAGUAAAUUGAGGGGAUUAGCUCUCAAAGAUCUAUGAGGUUUUUUAAUUAAGAAAGCUAGGCUUUAGAUUAGCCAGGUUGAUAAGUUGUUUUAAGUAAUCUUAUGAGUAGGUUAUGCGAUAGAGUUAAAUAAACGGUAGAGAAAAAUAAAAAUUUUAAGUGAUAAUGAAUUUAUUGAAUUAAGAGAGAAGUUUAAAAAUAACUCACGCGAGGUUAGAAAGUUUAACAAAGACAUUUCUGUGUGCUUAAAAUAAAGUAAGGCCUGCCCGGUGAUGUUUAAACGGCUGCGGUAUUUUGACUGUGCUAAGGUAGCAUAAUCAUUUGUUUCUUAAUUGGUAACUGGAAUGAAAGGUUAAACUAGGUUUAGCUGGUUUGUGAACUAAAAAGGAAAUUUAAGUCAAGGUAAUAAUUCUUUGAUAGACUAGGGGACGAUAAGACCCUAGAAGCUUAACAAAAAGUAUAUUUAUUAGUGUUAAAAUUUUAUUUGGUUUACUGGGGCGGUGUUGGUGCAUAAACUAUUAAGUUUUUGAGAGAUCCUUUGUAUAAAGAAAAAACGUGGAAGUUACUCUAGGGUUAACAGUGCAAUAUAUUUGGAAAGAUCUUAUUGAUAAUUAUGAUUGCAACCUCGAUGUU